rnacentral:snoRNA from 1 species
UUGUUAUUUAUAUUAAAAUAAUUGCAGAUAUGACACUGUUGGUUUUAAGCAGGAACCUAAAGAGAUUUGUUUCAAUGGUCUGUUGGCCAUUUCAGAACUUGGGCAGUGAAAAUGGUCAAACAGGUUGAGGCAAACCCAA